AGAUUAAGUUAUUAAGGGCGCACGGUGGAUGCCUUGGCACUAGAAGCCGAUGAAGGACGUUACUAACGACGAUAUGCUUUGGGGAGCUGUAAGUAAGCUUUGAUCCAGAGAUUUCCGAAUGGGGAAACCCAGCAUGAGUUAUGUCAUGUUAUCGAUAUGUGAAUACAUAGCAUAUCAGAAGGCACACCCGGAGAACUGAAACAUCUUAGUACCCGGAGGAAGAGAAAGAAAAUUCGAUUCCCUUAGUAGCGGCGAGCGAAACGGGAAGAGCCCAAACCAACAAGCUUGCUUGUUGGGGUUGUAGGACACUCUAUACGGAGUUACAAAGGACGACAUUAGACGAAUCAUCUGGAAAGAUGAAUCAAAGAAGGUAAUAAUCCUGUAGUCGAAAAUGUUGUCUCUCUUGAGUGGAUCCUGAGUACGACGGAGCACGUGAAAUUCCGUCGGAAUCUGGGAGGACCAUCUCCUAAGGCUAAAUACUCUCUAGUGACCGAUAGUGAACCAGUACCGUGAGGGAAAGGUGAAAAGCACCCCGGAAGGGGAGUGAAAUAGAACCUGAAACCGUGUGCUUACAAGUAGUCAGAGCCCGUUAAUGGGUGAUGGCGUGCCUUUUGUAGAAUGAACCGGCGAGUUACGAUUUGAUGCAAGGUUAAGCAGUAAAUGUGGAGCCGUAGCGAAAGCGAGUCUGAAUAGGGCGUUUAGUAUUUGGUCGUAGACCCGAAACCAGGUGAUCUACCCUUGGUCAGGUUGAAGUUCAGGUAACACUGAAUGGAGGACCGAACCGACUUACGUUGAAAAGUGAGCGGAUGAACUGAGGGUAGCGGAGAAAUUCCAAUCGAACCUGGAGAUAGCUGGUUCUCUCCGAAAUAGCUUUAGGGCUAGCCUCAAGUGAUGAUUAUUGGAGGUAGAGCACUGUUUGGACGAGGGGCCCCUCUCGGGUUACCGAAUUCAGACAAACUCCGAAUGCCAAUUAAUUUAACUUGGGAGUCAGAACAUGGGUGAUAAGGUCCGUGUUCGAAAGGGAAACAGCCCAGACCACCAGCUAAGGUCCCAAAAUAUAUGUUAAGUGGAAAAGGAUGUGGCGUUGCCCAGACAACUAGGAUGUUGGCUUAGAAGCAGCCAUCAUUUAAAGAGUGCGUAAUAGCUCACUAGUCGAGUGACACUGCGCCGAAAAUGUACCGGGGCUAAACAUAUUACCGAAGCUGUGGAUUGUCCUUUGGACAAUGGUAGGAGAGCGUUCUAAGGGCGUUGAAGCAUGAUCGUAAGGACAUGUGGAGCGCUUAGAAGUGAGAAUGCCGGUGUGAGUAGCGAAAGACGGGUGAGAAUCCCGUCCACCGAUUGACUAAGGUUUCCAGAGGAAGGCUCGUCCGCUCUGGGUUAGUCGGGUCCUAAGCUGAGGC
rnacentral:rRNA from 1 species